CGGAAAUAUUUUGGCCAUUAAAUUAUUUAUUAAUUAUCCCGGGGGGACGGCAACUAGCAGAACGUGGCCAACUUCCUGCUUAUUUCCGUAUACCUUUUAAGUAAUUAAUAAUGCGCAACAUAAUCGAUUUUCAUACAAAUUAAGAUUUAUUUGGCCGUCAACAAAAAACACCAACAAGAGCAACCGAAAACGGCUAAUUUAUUUUCCCCAGUUGCGCAUUUUUAUAUUGCAAUAAUCAUUCCCCCAUUUAGAAUGGAUCACACUCGCACCCUGUAUAAAACUCCUAUAAAUUAGUUAAACAAGCCGAAGAUAGAAGGAAAACCACAACCCUAACUGCUUAUAUUUGAACAGUUGAUUAAUCGACAAACGCAUAAUGUUUUGCUAAUGUCUUUCCUGACUCCAUUGGCGUAUGUGUGGAAAUGGGGCUUUUGUUUCUCUUGGUGUUUGUAACCAAUGCCCAAUUAAGUCAUUGCUCAAAGUGUCAUCAAUAGGCCCCGUAAUUGGAAAUUAAUUGCCAGCAAAUUUGGCAUAAGUUGGGCAGAUGGCAUUUGUUACAAUGGGAUAAACGGACCAUAGAGUGUCUCUUUUGGUUUAUUGGGUAUCUCCUUCCUAGUCCCUAUUUAUUUUGUUAAGCACUGCAAGUAUGAACAAAACUCGUUUGUUUACCUAACUUCAAUGUAAACUUGUUUGUAAAAAAUUAAAGGACGGUGCAGACAUCCUUUUUCGUGGCUAUUAUAUGUUUUUUAUAUGUAGUUAAACUAAAAUAAUUAAUACAAGACUCAAAAAAUUUAAAAAAAAAUUUUAAAAAUCGGUCAAACACAACGAGUGUGUUAUAUGAUGCUGAUCAAGGAUUCAGAAUCUUUCAUCUUUCAUUAAGUAGCAACAUGCAAGCGUCUGGAGGGUUUGAAUUUCUAGUGUGUGUUUUAAUAAAUCAGUGAACUUUUGAGCAGUUCAAAUCGAUAUGACCAACAAAUUUUGAUAAUUCUGAUUGUCGUCAAAAUCCACAAAUAUUAUUUUUAUUAAUUUUGGAAAACUUCUCGCUCAGCCCUCGCAAUAAUAGAUAUUUUCUUCAAGCUCCCCCGGCAAUCCCAUUUUCAUUUGCAAUGGCUGGUGUGUGCCCCACCGGUUCACUUCCCAUCACGUUUAUUUUCCACUUGCUCUUAUUUUUUCUGUCUUUUACUCAAUUAUGAAAAGAAAUUAUUAAGUGCGGGCCUCGCUAAAUUAGCGCGCAAUUGACUGUGGCCAGGGGAUUUUGUCUUGGGUCGAGGAAGUGGGGGAGGACAAGACACAUCCACCUUUUCCUAACUAAGACGAGUGUGCAAUGUCUUCGGAUUUCUCGAGUAUGAACGCCAGACUGCGGCUCUUGCCUGUUGCUUCAAAAUGUUCGCCACAUUUCUAAGGAGACGCCCCACGUACGAACUAUAGUGGGGAAAAUUAUAAAUGGCGCAUAUUUUGUGCAUUUCAUUUGCCAGCCAGAAUGUAGCAUCUUCCUAAUACGUUGGCUUACAGCUCUACAUUGUCCCAUGGAAGAAUGUGUAUGUACUGGCUGACUGACGUUUGAUGGUGACAAUUCAGAAGGAAGGCGGGGGGAGUCGAAGGCCUGACAGAACUCCCAGGCACUUUUAUUCAACAGGUGGCAUUGGUCAGAGCUAUUUUGUUGGUAAUACAGGGAAUGAUUGCCGAGAAUUUCUAUGCAUGUUGCUUGGAGGUAUGCCAAAUGCUGUGGGUGCUUGUCUCGGUGGCACGGAAGCAACGUCAUCACUUUGGAUUAUCAGAGCGAGCCAAGAUGGAUGUUUAAUUGACCGCAAAUAGAAACUGUAAAUUAUGCCAACAAAAGAUUUUACUCCCCAAACUGGUAUCGUUGCUAAUAGGAAAAUUGCGCUAACGAUGUUCGAGAUCCAGCAGAAGCGAAUGAUAUAUGCCAUGUCAGCUUUUAUUCUGUGAAUUAGAUUAAUCACAGAAUAAGAAUUGCAAUUGACAAUACCACUAAACAGUCCCCCGACUAUCAGAUACCCGUUACAUAGCUGGUGGGUAUACGAAAGGGUUUCAAAUUUAUUUGAAAUAGUAAAUUCAAGAAGAAAUAUCAUAUUUGAGCACGUUAGGGUGUGGCUAAAAUUUUUUUUUGUCAUAUUGUCACUUACAAAACAUAUUUAUAUAAAGAAAAUUAAAACCUAUUAUAAGUAUCAGCUAUUUUCUAAUUGAAGUGAUCCAAGUACUAGAAUAAUUAAUUAUUCGAGAGAUAAUAUGUUUUUGAUCUACAAAUCCGGUAGUUUUUCAGAGCCUAAAUAAAAAAGUUUCACCAUAACUCAAAAGAACGCUGCAUACAUUUUUCACUUUCAGCGCAGAAAAUAUAAACAAAUGCCAGACUGCAUCCUGUAUCACUAUCGCUUAGGAUUGAGCUUCGCAAAAGAAAAGUCUGACAAAGCAUUCUAGAUCAUCAGAUAGAAAAAACAUUAUGCAUAAAGGAACCUCUGAAGCUAAAUAUUUAUGUAUGAGUUGGAAAAUAAUGUAAGCAAAAAAAACCUUUGUUCAUUUUCGAUUACUUGGAAAACGACUAAAAUAACUAGCGUGUGCUCUUAUUGUUCGGAUUUAAAUGUAUUGUAUACUUUAGAGUCAAAUGGAAUAAAGUUUUACAUAUCAAAGCUUUAAAUUAUGUAUUUGCUGAACAUAAUGAUGCUUGCGAUCAUAUUUUCUCUAAAGUAGUGGUCUUAUAUUUCGAUUCUUACUUCUCCGGUUGUGCUUAGUAUGCGAAUCAGCAGACAAACACAUUUGGAGUCAAAAUGCAUUAAGAAUAUUUGCUCCAUUCCACGAUAAUAGGCCCUUGAAUUUUUAUUUUACUGUGAGAUCUACUUUUGUGUAUGAAAGUUUCUCGUGGAAAACAACCUAGAAAAGCAGUCAGUCAAGCACAUCAAAUUCAAAAGCAGUCUUGUAAUCAACUAAGUGACACGGAUACGCACUAAGUGCCUUUAAUUGCUGUCUAUCACUGGCUUUUGACUCACUGGAUCAGCGAUCUCUACUUAAGACCGUAAGGGUACAGACCCCUUUCUGAUGGUUUUUCAAUAACUACUUCCGCUGCAAUUCAUAUGACAAAUUUAGGUGGACAGGAUGGUGGAUGGCGUGUUAAUUACGCUCUGCGUCAUAUGCAGGCGGACAGCCCGCUGACAGGACAAUUUUAGAGCUUUCAUCUGGGCACAGUUCGGCCCGCUUCGUUUCUGUAAAUCUCUAUCAAAAUCCCAUAGCAACUUUUCCGCACGGCUACGCGUUUUUCCCCGCCGUGUGUGUGUAGGAGCUUUUCACAUUGUUUGGCGUUUUAUGAGCAUGAAAUUAAAUUAAUUAAAACUACACGUCGUCUCACUGUUUUCCGCACCCAGCAACACACGCUCUUCUCAUAAAAAGGAGAAAAUCUGUCAGAACUGUGUCAAACUUGGGCGAAUACACACUUUCAAGCUGCAGAAAGGUUGGCUUUAAUAGUUCUUCUGAUAUAUCCCUAUUCUGCGGGUUUGGAUGGAUUUGAUGGCCACUCCACGACUCCCAGCAGCAGCCUUGACGUAACCUUUAUAACCCAUCAUCUGAGUGAUAUUCAGGUUACUAUAUGACGGCUUACCCAAUUUAGAGUAUAUGAAAAAAUGUUCAAAGUUCCUUAAAUUAUAGAUUUUUUUCUCGCAUAUUUCAGUGUAAUUUUGGUCCGAUUCAACUCAUAUUUUCUAUUCAGCCGGACAAGUGAAAACUUUGUGAACUGCAAAUGAACCGGAUUAAGUUUUAGCUCUACAGAAACGAAAAGGUUAAAAGAUAUAAACGCAAAGCCAGCCAACUAAUUGCUGAUAUCUGUGCUUCGUGCUAGUGUGGGUGCAAGGACCAAGCUGGCUGGCAUUCACACAUACAUAUACUACUUUUGUGCAUAUAUGCGGUUGUCAAAGGUGCAGCUCCUAAAACUCAGGCCAUUCAACACGUCACCAACGGCUUAACUUGUUGCACCAAAAGCCAUGGCGUUGGGCUGAAACCUGAACUGUCCAUUAGGUGACCUGGCGGAUUAUACCUUCCAGGGCCUUUAAAAGGUUUCUGGCAAAAGGGCCGAAUCAUAAAUAAUGUAGAAUGUGUAAAUGCAGAACGUUAAACACGUUUUCUGUCAAUUUAAUUUGUAAUUAGUCACGGCGGUCGUUAAAGGCUCCUCCUGAGAGACCAGAGAGGCCAGUUUGCUGACUGCUUCUUGACUUUAAUUGAAAUUGGCAGCUGCUAACCCGCAACCCGAAAGCCACCUACUUGCACGUGAUUUCGUUGCUAAUUAUUGUGUGAGGUAUCGGGGAGCACGACCGAAGUGUCAUCAUCCAUCUCCUCCAGACACGGCGCUCUGGUGCUGGCCAGUCUACGUGCCGCAAAAUUCACUUAGAGCUGUCUCCCUGCAUUCAGUCGCUUCUAUUAAUAGUCGCAUGCUAAUCAGGCAUUAACAAUGGUUCCGUUUCUUUAAUUUGCAUUGGUAGUGUUUUGUAUCGGUUAGGUGACAAAGUAUUUUGUCUUUUUUCGCAAAUAACAUCCGUGCCUUUAUAUAUUUACUACCACAGCACUAAAAAAAAGGCUUGCAUAUACCUUCUAAUAUUUUGGUAUAGUUUAACUCUUUUUUUUACGGAUUUGAACGGAUUCUCUUUUUGGAAUAUGAGCAAUGUAUGAGUAACACAGAAACUUCCCGACUUGUAUGUAUGCAUGUACAUAUAUAUGUAUGUAUUGAAAAGCAUAUCAAAAUCUUCAUGAAUAUGUGCGCCAGACAAUUUUUAACGUCAAGAUCCGCUCCGCGUUUGUUGCUGAUCAAUAAUAUUAAACACAUAAUGAUAUCAAUUUACAUACACACUUUAUUUACUCAAUAAGAUUCAUUCGGUAGCAAUCUAAUUUGUUUACUAUAAAGACGAAAUAAAAAUGGCUCAUAAAAAAUUCGUAAAAAGAAUCUCGACAAGUUGCCUUUCAUUUUGCCGCCGGCUGACAUUAGAUAUUUAGAUUAAACGCAACUAAAAUUCUCUGGAAAAUAAAUGGACCUAGCAAACACACGCCAUAAUAGUGCGUUAGGCAAUAACUAUACAUACAUGCAUACAUAUUUGUGUUUGGUGCUCUCUUGCCGGCCGGCAGCCGCCGCUCGAUCAGCUGGGCCGUAAUAACAAGUCUUCCCGGAAUCUCUGCUACUGCGGGUUCGGAGGAGCGGCAGAUAGGUCUCAUUUUGAAGUCAUUAAUUUGACGAUGCUAAAUGAGAAUUUAUGUGUCUACUGCAGCGGCUCAGGCCGGCAAUUUCUCAUGCACAAACAUUUCUCAAUGCUUGACAGAAAGACCAAAAAGAGUCACUUCGGGUCCCGAAACUUGUUCACGCUGUCCAGAUGUCAUUAACACUCGGUGCUCGGCAUGACCAAAAAUGAACAAAAAAAUAAACCACCAACAAACAACAAAUAUACUUAACAUGACAACUAAAAACGGAGGCGGCAGAGCUCUUAUUAAUAGCCAAUUUUGUAGAUGUGUACGUAAAAGGAUCUAAAGAACCCAAAGUCGUCAAUCUCAUAAACAUUAGCCUUUUCUGUGCUUUGAUUUUUAAUUUAUCUUGAUUUUGGUCAAAACAAUGUAAGUUAAAAAUCAGACAACUAUAUAAAGUAUGGGAACAGAACAAAAAUUUUUUGAACACAUUAGAAAAGAAAUUAUAUCAUCAUUUUGUCGUUUUUAA